CAUAUAGCCACAUUUGCACUCACAUUAAACAUAUUGACACACACACACACACACACACACACACACACACACACACACACGUACACGUUGAAAAACAAACGCAUUCACAUAAUAUUACAAACAUAUUGGCAUACACCGUACACUUUACACGUACACACAGAAUCGUAUUGACUCUUAUGAACACACACACACACAUACACACGCCCAUAAACAGAAGCACUUUUACACCUCAACCAAACGUACAUAUAUAUAAUAUAUAAUGUUCUACCAAGGACGAAUUCAGAAGUAUCCAUCUAAGGGUUAUUCCUGCCGCCAAUAUUAGAAUGGAUCUUUAGAUUUCAAAUACUUGCCGUCCAUCACCUUCUGUCCAAAUAUAUCCAGCGAAUACUGCGCAGUUCUUCUUUAAACUUGGCCAAGAAUCGAACCUGAGACCACGGAAUGCUGUCAAUGACUCGAAGUGGGGAGCACUGGACACUCCCAACUUUAGUAGUAUUGAUAGAAUCGAUACAGUAGAACACAGUGAUGGAGAACUUUAACACUUUAAUCCCCUAACCCCGAAUAUUGUGAACAUUUAAGGUUUUGAAUUGUCUGGUCAUUGCAUGAACUACAGUGUGAACUAAUUAUAUUUAAUGGGACCCCUGUACUGUUGUCCAAAAUUAAAAAAAAAAACAUUAAAACAAUUUUAAAUGGAACGUCAUAUAAAUUUAGAAACUUCGAGAGAACGUGAAAUAAUUCGUUUUUAACUGUAGAACUCUGAGUGUAACACUAAGUGGUUACAGCUAUAAAUAAUUGCAUGUAAAUAUUGAGUUAAAAAAAUAUCUUGGAUAGAAAAUUGACCAACGCUGCCUGUGGGUCUUGAACCCACAUCGUUUGUAAACAUAACAGACGUUCUAUCGCUGGACCAAAACUUUAUUUAUGACACUCUACAGUACGAAUCCCAGAAUUUUUUUUUAUGGCAUCCUGAAGUUUCCCGGAAUCUACUUUGGAAACGUACGUAUUUACGCAUAAUACCAUGGGAUAUUCGAUAUCGAGUUAUCAAGUACCCGAGAACGAUGGAUUAUUGUUACGGAAUGCUCGAGCCAGGAUACAAACGGGUACUAGAUACUCCGACUGGCUACAUCAUAUAGCCAAAAUCUCAAAAUAGUGGUGAAAAGAAUAUUUCCGAUAUAUAUAUAUAUAUCUCCAUUUUCUUAUUUUGUAUAUAUAUAUAUAUAUAUAAUAUAUAUAUAUAUAUAUAUAUAUAUAUAUAUACAUACAUAUAUAUAUAUGUACCUAUGUAUGAUUCUCGAAGUAUCCCACAUUUUGAAACAAGUGAAAGUAGGUGACUCUGGGUUGUGCUGCUAUUUGAUGAUAAUUCUGAGAAUUGGGACAUUAAAUGUUUCUGGUUUUUUGGGGGUAAUGAAAUGCAUUGUUGAGAAUUAUUGCCGAUUUGUUUCGCAUAGGGGUUUGCAAAAACAAAAAAAAUAAAAAAGGUGGGGAGAGGCAAUAUUUAUUUAUUUAUUGCCAACGAAGAAAGUUGUUAAUUUUCUAAAAGUGUGUUAGUUUAGAACCGAGUUGGAAGAACUCUAAAAGAAUCCUAAAUCAGAUCGAUUGUGCGAUGUUUUGUACGAUUACAUCUUAGCAUUAACGAGAAAGGUAGAUAAAUAGAUUAAGAAUGAGAGAGAGAGACAGACAGACAGACAGAGAGUGAACGAGAGAGAAUGAUAGAGAACGAACGUGAAUGCUAGAGAAAAACGAGACAGUAUACGCGUAAAUGGAAUUAAAACGAAGAUAUGAAGCAAGCAAAGUGAAAGGUUAAUCUGCUUAUAAGACGGAAAUGUAAAAUCGUGUCGCCAUAUUAGUCAUUGGAGUAAAGUCUUACAACGGUUGGAAAUUUAUAUCUUUCAAAUAUAUUCGACGGUCUGGUAAGUUAUAAGCGAAAGCGUUUGUUAAGCAGAAUCUAUAAUAUCGAAAAGUAAUCAAUAGAUAUCCGUUUAUGUUCUCUUUAGUAGACAUCAAUGAUAAUGAAACUCACAAAAGUGAUACUGGAUGAAGACAAAACUGGAAGGGAAAAGAGCUGUAAAGUUCUUAUGAAAUUGAUAUGAUUUAUAAUAUUUCAGAUGAGAAUCGAAUAUAUCAGAGAGAUUUUACGGAUUUUUCACAAGAACUUCCCUACAUAUUAAUUUUGAUUCCAACAUCGUAUAUUUCUGAAAAAUAAAAAAUACAAAAAUAAAAAAAAUGUUAUUUAAAAAAAAAAACAUCUUGAAAUGUCAGUUGUAUUUACUCUUUACAAACGGAGGAUGGAGGAUUCCAUGAAAAUAUCCCUUUCCAUAUGUUUUCCAUCCGACACACACACACAAGUGGGAUAUAAUAUUUUUGUUAUAUUUUCUUCGAUGUAUUGUACCAUCGUGGCUCUCUGAUGAGGAGACACUUUUGAGUUUGUGUUUUUCAUUUUAAUUUCCACGUAAGAAAUCGGUAAAGCAAUAACAACAACUACUACUACUACUACUACUACUAGAGAGUGUAACACAAAAGUAAAGUCUCGGAGAAAUCAUCUUCAUGAAGUACUGUUUAAUCGUUGUGCUUAAGUUGACAUCAGUUGGCUGUGUCAGUCUAGUCAAAGAAAUUAUUUUCAAAUAAAUAUUAAAUAAACUAUUAUUAUUAUUAUUAUUA
rnacentral:lncRNA from 1 species